GAAUGCAGCCAUGCCGCGUGUAUGAAGAAGGCCUUCGGGUUGUAAAGUACUUUCAGCAGUGAGGAAGGGGKGGWCGUUAAUAGCGGGCMUYUUUGACGUUAGCUGCAGAAGAAGCACCGGCUAACUCCGUGCCAGCAGCCGCGGUAAUACGGAGGGUGCGAGCGUUAAUCGGAAUUACUGGGCGUAAAGCGCAUGCAGGUGGUUCGUUAAGUCAGAUGUGAAAGCCCGGGGCUCAACCUCGGAAYUGCAUUUGAAACUGGCUCACUAGAGUACUGUAGAGGGGGGUAGAAUUUCAGGUGUAGCGGUGAAAUGCGUAGAGAUCUGAAGGAAUACCAGUGGCGAAGGCGGCCCCCUGGACAGAUACUGACACUCAGAUGCGAAAGCGUGGGGAGCAAACAGGAUUAGAUACCCUGGUAGUCCACGCCGUAAACGAUGUCUACUUGGAGGUUGUGGCCUUGAGCCGUGGCUUUCGGAGCUAACGCGUUAAGUAGACCGCCUGGGGAGUACGGUCGCAAGAUUAAAACUCAAAUGAAUUGACGGGGGCCCGCACAAGCGGUGGAGCAUGUGGUUUAAUUCGAUGCAACGCGAAGAACCUUACCUACUCUUGACAUCCCAGAGAACUUU
rnacentral:rRNA from 1 species